rnacentral:ncRNA from 1 species
UUUCGUUAACAUCGGUUUUAGCAAUAACCGAUGUUAAUAUAGCGAUGUAGAAAACCUUUUUUUUUAGUAGUGCUUCAUCAUUGAGAGGGAAACAAUUUGGAUCACUAACUAAGGUCCUUAAAUGACCGCUCAAUGAUGAAGGAGGCAGGGAUGCAGAGACUACCAAGAGGUUUGCCUAGAAGUGGCCACCCUUGAAAGAGUGCAUAAUAGCCCACUGAUCCAGUGCUCUUGUGCCGAAGAUGAACGGGACUAAGUGAUCUGCUGAAGUUGUGGGAUGUAAAAAUGAAUCGGUGAGGGAGCUUUCCGCCUUAGAGGGAAGGACUUGCAAGAGUAGUGCUGGAUGAAGUGGAAGUG